CCUACGGGCGGCAGCAGUGAGGAAUAUUGGUCAAUGGGCGAGAGCCUGAACCAGCCAAGUAGCGUGAAGGAUGACUGCCCUACGGGUUGUAAACCUCUUUUAUAAAGGAAUAAAGUGAGGCACGUGUGCCUCUUUGUAUGUACUUUAUGAAUAAGGAUCGGCUAACUCCGUGCCAGCAGCCGCGGUAAUACGGAGGAUCCGAGCGUUAUCCGGAUUUAUUGGGGUUAAAGGGAGCGUAGAGGGGAUGUUAAAUCAGUUGUUAAAGUUUGGGGCUCAACCGUAAAAUUGCAAUUGAUACUGGCAGUCGUGAGUACAGGUGAGGUAGGCGGAAUGCGUGGUGUAGCGGUGAAAUGCUUAGAUAUCACGAAGAACUCCGAUUGCGAAGGCAGCUUACUGAACCGCCACUGACAUUGAUGCUCGAAAGUGUGGGUAUCGAACAGGAUUAGAUACCCGAGUAGUC
rnacentral:rRNA from 1 species